UGACUACUGAGACACAGAGAAACUUGGUGCCCAGAGAAGAAUGAGGGGAAACAAGAGCCUGCGUGUGUGUCCCAUGGUAAACAAUGAGGCCGGAAGCAUCCAUCUGGAAGGCAGUCAAAACAAACAACUGCCCGAUGAAAUGCUGGGGUCCCUGUGUUCUCAAAGAUUAAACCAGUUGGAAUAUCAUUUCAGUUUGAAUGAAAACAGAGCUCCUUCCCUGACAUGGAAAUUUUGAGAAACGCAAACUGGAGAGAUGGUCUGGGUGCACCUUUGAUGACCCA
rnacentral:lncRNA from 1 species